GGCCCUACAUGUGGCACAGUGGUUUGAGUGUUGGACUAUGAUUCUGGAGACCAGGGUUAGAUUCCCAGCUUGGCCA